GAACCGACCCGGGCUCAUGAGAGGUGGUAGAUGGAGAGAGGGUUCCCCUGGUCUCCCUGAGAAACCCGUAAAAAAUAUUAUGCAUCUCUUUUGCUGGUAUUUAGCUGGGUUAAUAAGAACAUGAACAGUUAAUAAGAACAAGGGCAUUAGAGUUUUUUAAAUGAUGGGGAAAAAAUUGCGAACUCACCUUUUCCGUUUUAAAUGUCAAAAAUAACUAGCAAAAGUUAAGCAUAUGUCUGACCUUGUCCAUCAGCGUUUUUUUUUUCCUGGCUUCAAACUCUGUUUAUAUAUGGGUAUCAACACUAAAGUGUCAGUGGUGGAAUGAGCCUUGUGCACAAGGCAAACAGAAAUGAAAACCGCUGUUCCUAGAAGUUACUGAGCAUUUAGUUCCAGGACACUGGCAAGUGAGAUGGAUCAUCCAGUGUUGCUUGGAGAAAACAGUAAAUACAUUUCUAGUGCACCAGGAAAGCUCUUUCCAGAAGAAUUAACGCUGUUGUAAAAGCACCUCUCUGCAAUAGUGGGCACAAUUCCGACUCCCUCGUGUUGAAAUGAGACAAUGGAGGACUGCUAAGGUGGCUGAGGAAACAGGGCACCUGCCUGUCAGGAAGAGGCUGAAGAGAUUGGGAUAUAAGUGCUCUCUGUAAAUACUUGAGGAGUUAACACCAGUGAGAGGAAAAAACUAUUUAAUUUGAGGGAUGAAGCUGUGAAGAAACUUUGGCUAGUUUUCAGAAACAGCCAUGAGCAACAAAAGAUCUUCUAAGUGUUUUACCCUAAAUCUGGUAAAGGAACCUCAAAACUUGGAGAGUACUUUCUUCAUGGAUUUCCACAGAAAAAAAGGCACCAGGUCAGCACAGGCUUGCUCAGGCCAUUAUGCAGAUCUUGAAAAUUAGCUGCUCAAAACUGCAGACACACCCUGACCUUCUGUUUUGCUGGCUAGAGAUCAGGACAACCUUCACAGCUAUAUAAUAUAAUACUGUUGAACUUUUGUCUACAGCCCUUUAUUUGUAACCAUUGUGACACACGAGAUAAAAAAAAAAGUUCUUCUUGAACUGCCUAUGUUAUAUAAAUAUUUUUCUCUAUACUAACUUCUGCUAUAUUUCCUGGACAAAACCUGAACACACAGGGGAUGGCAAUUUAGUGACAUUCAUGUGUAGCCCUUUUGGGAAAAGCAUUGUAUAUUAUUUCUGAUCUGGACUGGCAAAUACAAUGACAUCACAUUUAAAAAUGGCUAUGAUCCACCCACUGAGAAUGCCAAAGAAAAGCUGGCUGAUUUUUUUUUUUUUAAAGGAAGCUAGCACAAAGAUUACAAGGUGAAACAGAUGUCUGAGGGUUGUUGUCUACACAGAGAAAAACCCAGUUUCAAAAAGAAAUAUG
rnacentral:lncRNA from 1 species